ensembl:misc_RNA Vault Vault RNA
GGGCUGGCUUUAGCCCAGCGGUUCCUUCGAGUCUGGCUUCCCACCAUCCAGGUCCAUUAGUCCGGUGGUUCGAGACCUGUGGGCGCUCUCCAGUACUUAA